rnacentral:rRNA from 1 species
UACGAAGGGGGCUAGCGUUGCUCGGAAUUACUGGGCGUAAAGGGCGCGUAGGCGGUCCUGUUAGUCAGGCGUGAAAUUCCUGGGCUUAACCUGGGGACUGCGCUUGAUACUGUGGGACUUGAGGAUGGAAGAGGCUCGUGGAAUUCCCAGUGUAGAGGUGAAAUUCGUAGAUAUUGGGAAGAACACCGGUGGCGAAGGCGGCGAGCUGGUCCAUUACUGACGCUGAGGCGCGACAGCGUGGGGAGCAAACAGG